rnacentral:lncRNA from 1 species
AAAUGUGAUCGCCAGGAUAUGUGUUUGAUAGUGUAUGUCUUAUAUUUUAAAAAUUAAUAAAUAAUUAAAAAAUCGGCAUAAAUCGGAUCGGGAAAAAACUGCCUUAAUUGGUUUGGUUUGGUUAUAAUAUUUGAAAAUUCUACUUAUUUGGUUUGGUUUCUUUUAAGGGAAAAACCGAUACAAACCGAACCAUGAAGACCCCUAAUCCCAUGUCAUUUUCAGUUUGGUGAAGUAACCUGCAAUAUCAUUUGAUCCUUGAACUAAAUCACUAAGCUCCUUUUGCAGAUGGUAGAGUUUGGCACCAUUUGAUUGUACAAAUCUAUCCUCAAGAUUAGUCCACAAAUCUCUUGCAGACUUGCAGUAAAUAACACUCGCAGUAACUCCUUGGAUAGAGAAUUAAGCAGCUAAGAUGUUACCAUGUCAUCGCAGUGAUUUUAUAACUUGAAUUCUGCUACAUCAGAAGCUAGUGAAGGACAAUUACCAUCAACUAAUUCAAGCUUAUUUUUUGCGAGAGAGCAAUGAGAAUUGAUCUCCUCUACCCAUCAUAACCUUGGCCAUCAAAAGAGGAAGUAACCAAGGUCAUACCUGGAGAGUCAGAGGCAUGAAAGAAAUAGGGACUACUAGGAUCCACGACUUUGGACAUCCCAAAUCCAGUAGAGGCCAUUUGGAUUUGAGGGAAAAGGAAUUUAGAAGGAGGAGAUUAGUGGUAUUCAGAUACCAUGUAGAAAGACUGAAUGAACGAAGAGAGAAUUGAAUAAUUU